CAUAAAAAAUAAAUUGAUAUAGGUACACCUUGACAAAUAUCCAUAGAGGAAAAUCCAGAAACGUAAAUGAAUUUAAUUAUGUUUUUCAAACUGAAAGCCAGUAAUUAGAGGACAUUCAUUUCAAUAUUUAAUCAUUAGUUUUUUGUCUGACGUGCAACUUGGUACUUAUUCGAGAAUCAUUUCUUCAUUCUACAUUGUCAUAGUGAUGUGCAAAAUGUCGGUGAACACAAUGUUAUUGAUAAUAACCCUAGUCCUCACAAUGUCAACUUUAUCUAUUUGUUCACCUACUCCAUUCUACUUUGGACUCGAUGGAUAUUAUGGUCCAAUUGUUAGGGUCGGCACUUACCCAUAUGUAUAUGAUACUCCAGGGGUAAAUGUUCGUGUACGAUAUCCUCCAAGAUCAUAUUAUUAUUACUGGUGAAGAAAGAGAAAUAUUUAAUUUAUAGUUUGGUCAUGGCACUUUAUUAACUGAUUUUGAACAAUUUUCUUUUGUUAGGAUAAGUGGUUUGGUGAGAUGUCAAAUUCUAAAAAAUCUUGAAUAUAUUUAUUCUUUUUUA